rnacentral:rRNA from 1 species
CUUAAGCAUAUCAAUAAGCGGAGGAAAAGAAACCANCAGGGAUUGCCCCAGUAACGGCGAGUGAAGCGNCANCAGCUCAAAUUUGAANUCUGCCUCUAGGCCGAGUUGUAAUUUGUAGAAGAUGCUUCGGGUGUGGCACUGGUCUAAGUUCCUUGGANCAGGACGUCAUAGAGGGUGAGANNCCCGUACGUGACUGGCUNCCUUCGCCCAUGUGAAGCUCUUUCGACGAGUCGAGUUGUUUGGGAAUGCAGCUCAAAAUGGGUGGUAUAUUUCAUCUAAAGCUAAAUAUUGGCCAGAGACCGAUAGCGCACAAGUAGAGUGAUCGAAAGAUGAAAAGCACUUUGGAAAGAGAGUUAAACAGUACGUGAAAUUGUUGAAAGGGAAGCGCUUGCAACCAGACUUGCGCGCCGUCGAUCAUCCGAGGUUUUCCCCGGUGCACUCGGCGGUGCUCAGGCCAGCAUCGGUUUCGGUGGUUAGAUAAAGGCCUUGGGAAUGUGACNCCUCCGGGAGUGUUAUAGCCCUCGGUGCAAUGUAGCCUAUCGGGACCGAGGACCGCGCUUCGGCUAGGAUGCUGGCGUAAUGGUUGUAAGCGACC